rnacentral:rRNA from 1 species
AACGUAGGAGGCGAGCGUUAUCCGGAGUGACUGGGCGUAAAGCGCGUGUAGGCGGUCAGGCAAGCUGGGUGUGAAAGCGCCAGGCUCAACCUGGCGAGGCCAUCCAGGACUGCGUGGUUGGAGGCCGGUAGAGGAGUGCGGAAUUCCGGGUGUAGCGGUGAAAUGUGUAGAGAUCCGGAGGAACACCAGUGGUGCAGACGGCGCUCUGGGCCGGACCUGACGCUGAGACGCGAAAGCGUCGGGAGCGAACGGG